rnacentral:hammerhead_ribozyme from 1 species
GUCCAGCUAACGAGUCCCAAACAGGACGAAAUGCGCGUUCUGAAU